rnacentral:rRNA from 1 species
CCUACGGGUGGCAGCAGUGAGGAAUAUUGGUCAAUGGACGAGAGUCUGAACCAGCCAAGUAGCGUGAAGGAUGACUGCCCUAUGGGUUGUAAACUGCUUUUAUAUGGGAAUAAAAUGUUCCACGUGUGGUGUUUUGUAUGUACCAUAUGAAUAAGGAUCGGCUAAUUCCGUGCCAGCAGCCGCGGUAAUACGGAGGAUCCGAGCGUUAUCCGGAUUUAUUGGGUUUAAAGGGAGCGUAGGUGGAUUGUUAAGUCAGUUGUGAAAGGUUGCGGCUCAACCGUGAAAUUGCAGUUGAAACUGGCAGUCUUGAGUACAGUAGAGGUGGGCGGAAUUCGUGGUGUAGCGGUGAAAUGCUUAGAUAUCACGAAGAACUCCGAUUGCGAAGGCAGUUCACUGGACUGCAACUGACACUGAGGCUCGAAAGUGUGGGUAUCGAACAGGAUUAGAUACCCUUGUAGUC